CUUGCAGCACUCCUUCUCUUUCUCAGGGAUACUACUGUCUCGGUAGGACAAUGAAUAGCUUAUAUAGGCCUCUUUCCUUCGCUUCUCGGCAAUUAGUUAAGUUCCGAGUCAUGAAAACUGACUGGAUUCUGUCUAUCCACUAGAAAGAGAUAUACGAGAUUCACUCUCUCUAGCUCAGCUUAUAAGCUAUACAAAGCUGGGGAAUACUCGCUUAAAAGGAGCUCUUCUUAUGAAUUCGAUAAGGGCAUGAAAUGAGUCUACUGAAGUAUUAGAAAAAUUCUAGGUAGAGAAUCCGCUUCAAGUCUUAUUUGCUGCGAUAAAAAAAAUCUAAGUGAAAAAAAGAAUCAAUCUAUUAGAGCGGAAGUAGAGAACGGUACCAGG
rnacentral:lncRNA from 1 species